rnacentral:rRNA from 1 species
GAUGAACGCUAGCUACAGGCUCAACACAUGCAAGUCGAGGGGAAACGGCAUCGAAAGCUUGCUUUUGAUGGGCGUCGACCGGCGCACGGGUGAGUAACGCGUAUCCAACCUGCCCAUCACUUGGGAAUAACCUUGCGAAAGUAAGACUAAUGCCCAAUGACAUCCCACGAAGGCAUCCGAAUGGGAUUAAAGAUUUAUCGGUGAUGGAUGGGGAUGCGUCUGAUUAGCUUGUUGGCGGGGUGACGGCCCACCAAGGCAACGAUCAGUAGGGGUUCUGAGAGGAAGGUCCCCCACAUUGGAACUGAGACACGGUCCAAACUCCUACGGGAGGCAGCAGUGAGGAAUAUUGGUCAAUGGGCGAGAGCCUGAACCAGCCAAGUAGCGUGCAGGAUGACGGCCCUAUGGGUUGUAAACUGCUUUUAUAAGGGAAUAAAGUGGGUCACGUGUGACUUUUUGCAUGUACCUUAUGAAUAAGGACCGGCUAAUUCCGUG